AACCACUGCGCCACAACGGGAACUCCUGGGAAUCCUUACUGCUUACCUAUUUUGUUUAGUAGUUUGUAUCUGUUAAUCUCAUACUCCUAAUUCAGACCACAUUUUUUAAUGAUAAGCAACUUCAGAAAAGUACUUAAAAAAAAAAAAGAAAGAAAAAGAGUUGAGGUUUUAAGUCCAAGAGAACCUCUAUUAGAUUGGAAGUUUCUGUUCUCUGUUCAGCUCUUACACUGUUUAAUGAAAAGAGGUCAAGAGAUAAACAAGUGUCAUCAGAGAACAGAGAGUAGAGUGAGAUACUAGCCUUUAUUUUUAUAUAUUUGUAAAAAUUACAAGUGACUUUUUAAAGAAAAUUACAACAAAACAGUACAGCAAAUAUUACAUAAAAAUGUUUUUCUUUUAGGGAGGAGAGUUAGGAAAGUAAUGGAUCCUCCUUGGAAGAUUUCACUUGGAGAACAAAAGCAGCUCUGUGUGCACUUUAUUUCCAGGUGAUUGUGAUUAUACUGACUCAUUCUUCUGCCCUAAAAAAAGGCUGGUCCCCGAGAAAGACAAUUGGCUCCUUUGCUUAGACUUCCUGGCAGUGGGCAGCGGGGGCCUAGGACAGUCUGGGUACUUUUUCACACCCAGUGCAUGUGAGGCCAGUUUUCUAAAAAGAAGUAUUAGUUACCUGCUCUGGGAGUCAGAGUUGUUUUAGCCCUUAGGUCCUAUAACCUGAAGACGUGGCCCUUGUUUUUUGCCUUUCCAUCUUAAUACAUACAUUUGCCCAUGCCUGUUGGCAGCCAAGAGUUGAUCUCUACUUUCUUCAAAAGGCUUGGUUAUCUAGUGAAAUAUCCAAAUGCUGGCAGGAACAGCACAUCCUAACUUCCUGUCUCUGGCUCGCCUACUACUAUAUUAUGGGUGUAUUUAAUGUUCUGGCUAUCUUUCCCUACCCUGAGUUGCUAUCCAAACAACAAUAUCUAGUAAUACUGGAAACAGAGUCAUCAGUUUUAUAUAUAUCUACAAGAAUGAGCUCGUGUAUAAAGGAAGGAAAGAAGGCACCAAAUGAGUCUCCAAUUGCCAAUAGUUUUGACUAGCAAUGCCUAAAUAUGUCCCAAAGUACAUGGGAAAUAUGUCUGUGGACAUGAGACAUUGAGUCCAGUGAAUUAGUCACCUACUUAUUAAAGAAACACACCCUGCUUUAGUGCUUGGCACAUCUACAUCUGCUAAAUAUUAGAAAAUAUGGCUAAGAUGUUUUCUGGCCAGAGGUCAGUUGGACAAGUGUAUUUGUGUAUGUGGGCACACCCUCCUUCUUCAAGGAUCACUGUCUGAACCCUCACUUUAAUCACAAGGAAAUGAUCAAGCUAGUCAGGAUCACGGUCUGUUGCCUCAGUGUGAAAAGGGCAACCCCUUCUUCUGGAAUGUGGAAAUUGAAGUUAGCCCCAUUGCUAAUUGAAUCAAACUGACCACAAGAGAGGAAUUGUCUGCUUAUGAAAAAAGUCUUGCUCUUCUAGCCACGUGGAGGGAGAAAGGGACUCUGCUUCUGCUAUCGCAGACAUACUUUAUUCCAAUGGGGAAUAAGAAAAGUAUUCUCGGCAAAACCUAAUGUCCUGAGAGUCACUUUGAAAUGAGUUUGGGGGAUGGCUGGUAUAUGCUGUGCUCAGAAGGAAAACCCAAGCUGGUCUGACUAGAGGAAAUUAUGCCACCAGCUAACAGCAGAGCCAAGCACUAUAGUGGGUCUCUCAGCUACCAGGGUGAAUAAGCUAUUACUCCUGUCCUGGAGAAGUUGAUUGCCUUGUGGAAAAGACAGAAGCAAAGGCAGAAAACUGCAACACAGCACAUUAAAUGCUACAGUUGAGAAUCUGGGGUCUCAUCCAGGAUUUGGGGUCCACUGGAACACAGAUUCUUGAGGAUGAGAGAUGCAUCCCACAGCCUGUUGUGGUGGCCCUAAAUUGAGAAGUCUGCACCUGUGAACUUCAAACCCAUGGAGGGUUCUUGACAAUGUGGGAAAUCAUGUGAUGACAUGGCAACUCUGUUAAUGGACCAAGGUAGGAAAUAUCACAGGUGUGAUUGUGUACCUCAUUGGUGGUCGGGAUGGGGUCAUUAAGCCUCAAAGGGUCUCAGGUGAUACCGGCAGUUUGAGGUGAAAUCGUAAAAUCAGAGCACACCCUUCAAAACAUCUUGGGGGAGACCAGCAAUUUUGGGGUGAAAUUAGGGAAUCAGAACAUGAUCCUGGACAAUGAAGGUCUCAGGUGAGACCAGUGAUUUUGGGUGAAAUCAGAGGAUCAGAACACGAUCCUGGGAAAUGGGAAGUAAGUCUUCCUGACCUGUACCUCCACUUGGAGGACUGAAUGGGGAAGGGGACCAAAUUCCUCCAGACUGUCCUCUGGGAUUGAUAUUAAAGUAUGGGGGUGACAAUCCAUUGAUGAAGGACAAAAAGAAGGGAAGAAUGAUUAAAUAUUGUUGUUUUAUCUGGACACAGACACCUAUUCUUGCCCCAUCUGUCUUCUGGCCAAAGUUUGGAUCAGACGAGGAUUGGGUCUGUCAGCUGUUUAUUCAGUUUGUCCAGGACAAGUCACUGGGGUCUCCAGAGGAAACUUAUUAUGCUCUCCAUUGGCAGCGGGGACUGGUGGUCUUAAUUCCCUUCAGAGCACAGGACCAAAAGGGAAAUGAGGAGGAAACCCAAGAACAUUCUGGGACCUCCUCCCCUCCAUGGGACCCCCUUGGCUCACUGCUGCCACCUUAGAAUCCCCAAAAUGGUGCUGGCCCCCACUCCAGCCACAGCCACCACUGCUGUUGCUGCUGGGGGAGUAUGGAAGGGGCACAGAGCCCACAAUGCAAGUGCAAGGGCACUGCUGCUGCUCACAUACUUAACACAGGAGGGGAGGGGUGCAGAGCCCUGUGCUGGCACAAGCACACUACUGUUGCUCAGAGUCAGAAAAGGAGGAUUAGGCCACAGGCACAAGCAUGCUGCCCUGGCUCAGGGGAUCAAAGCCCACAGCCUCAACAAAACCAAAGGAUAUGGCAGGGCCUUAUUCCAGACUUAGUGAAGAGUUAAAACAAUGUCAGGAGUUCCCAUCAUGCCUCAGUGGUUAACAGACCCAAGUAGUAACCAUGAGGUUGCAGGUUCAAUCCCUGGCCUUGCUCA